GAUGAACGCUAGCGACAGGCUUAACACAUGCAAGUCGAGGGGCAUCGGGGCGUGGCAACACGCCGCCGGCGACCGGCGCACUGGUGAGUAACGCGUAUCCAACCUUCCCUAUAGUAGGGGAUAGCCCGUAGAAAUGCGGAUUAAUACCCUAUGUUGUAUUUUGAUGACAUCUGACGAAUACCAAAGGUUUACCGCUAUAGGAUGGGGAUGCGUCUGAUUAGGUUGUUGGCGGGGUAACGGCCCACCAAGCCUGCGAUCAGUAGGGGUUCUGAGAGGAAGGUCCCCCACAUUGGAACUGAGACACGGUCCAAACUCC
rnacentral:rRNA from 1 species